rnacentral:rRNA from 1 species
UGGCGUAUGGAAGGCGGAGUCCUCCGAGUGCGACCGACGGUACAAGUCCCCAUGAGAGGGGCAUCUUACCCUGAGCGGGUGCUAGGCCCGUACCGCCGUCGGUCAGCGCGCGGAGUUGCCGUUCUCCCGGGAGUCGGGUUGCUUGGGAGUGCAGCCCUAAGUGGGUGGUAAACUCCACCUAAAGCUAAAUAAGACCGAGAGACCGAUAGCGAACAAGUACCGUGAGGGAAAGUUGAAAAGCACUUUGAAGAGAGAGUUCAAGAGUACGUGAAACCGUUCAGAGGUAAACGGGUGGGACCUCGAAGUCCGAAGGCGGUGGUGGAUUCAGUCGGUAUCGGGGCUCGCCCUCGCGCACGUCACCCCACGACGGGGCCGUCGCGCGGGGGAAGGUGUCUCGGUUCCGGUGCACUUCCACACCCCGUCCAGUAGGGCGUCGCGACCGGUUGGGAGGCUGUCGUAAGGGCGGACGCGAAAGGUGGCCGCAUUUCCCUCGGGAUCUGCGGUGUUACAGGCGGUCCAGCUCUGACGGGUCGCCCGACCGGGGUCGAGUUCAUCUCUGUUGCGUUCCCUUCCUGACGGAAGCGUUGCUCGGGUCGAGCUUUCGGCGGAACGGCGUGCCACCAUCAAAGGUGAGCGCCUUUCGAAGGAGGUUUCUGUCUCGAACCGACGCGGGGAGCCGGAGGUCGCGGCGAGUAGGUCGGUUACCCACCCGACCCGUCUUGAAACACGGACCAAGGAGUCUAGAGCGUGUGCGAGUCACAGGGACUUGAAUAGGCCUGUGGACGCAAUGAAAGUGAAGGGCGGCUUUACGCCGUCCGAGUUGGGAUCCGUCCCCUCGGGGGCGGCGCACCAACGGCCCGUCCGAU